GCAAGGGGCCUACUUCGUUAACUUUUAUGAAGGUUGUAACUAUGCUCGCCCAAGCAAUCGUUGAUACUGCAUCAGAACGGCAAGUUGGGCCAGUUGGUUGGGAUUCAUACUAAGGUUUGUUACAGCGCAACCUAAGACAAGGACAACAGAAGGUACAAAACAGCGCCGUGUCGUCAUUUUGUACCUUCUGUUGUCCUUGUCUUAGGUUGCGCUGUAACUAACCUUAUUAUGAAUCAUUGAUACCCCUUCCCGUCUGUCUAAUGUAGACGCCCUUGCACAACAAGGGAAACUUGUAUACCAUAGCUCAAGUGCAAUUAACAUGCCCGUUCAUGUCUUUUUUCCAACCAGUGUGUCAAAACAGAUAUAAAAUACUCGCAAAUAUGCAAUGACCACUACGUCACUUCACAUUUAUUCUGCAAUAUUCUGCUAUCUCAACUGCAGGUUGCCAAGAAUGAAAAAUUACCAGAGUGCGCUACUCGAAUGGUGUUCACUGUAUCUGAUGAGUGUCUUGAUUUACCUAAUCGAUGAGAUGUCAGUGAAAAGCUUUGUAUGAUGGUUACAAAUGGCCGGUAACAGCAUUUAAGACAGCCUAGGAUUUGUGAAGGCACGAGAAUGAAAGCCCGUGAAAUAAAUAAAAGGUGAAAAUAAACUGUCCUUACCAUGACAAUGCUUCUGCGCACUAUUGCAUCAAUCUUUACAAAAACUUUGUCAAAUAGGGGCACUGGGAAAGAGCAGCUGCAGUUUUUUCUCGACAUGUCAGCAGUUUUUGGCGGGCAAGUACAGUCCCUACCAAAUGCGAAGUAGCGCGAUCUUGGUAACAGUUCGCUUUGCGAACCUUUACAAGACUGUGCCCCAGGUUUGCACAUUCAUAAUAUAUGCAGUGCACUGAUGACACUGUUUCUGUCUGAGACCACUUAUAUUACUGUUGCGGAGCGCAUUGUCACGUGAAUUUCUAAAGAAAAAUUUGCUUGUUUGUUUGUUUUUUUUUUUGUCGGAAAAAAAAAAGACCACACAUGAACUAGGUCGUUGUAACGCUGUUAUCGGUCAUUUCUCGGCGUAUUCCACAACCUUUGCAUUGGCACCAUAUUCGAUAAGUAAGGAAAUAAACAUUCAUUACAAGUACAUAUUAAUUGCUUGUUCACAAUGGAAAAAAAAACUUGAGUAGCACAAACAUAAACCUAUCAACAUAGAGUGGGUGAUGUUCACGGAAAGCACUCAUUAAUUUUUUUCUUGGCCACAGUUAGUUGUCAUAUCCAGUAUUUAAUUUAAUGGUGGUUUCCGAGAAACCUGUACAGGUCUCCUUCGUAGCUUCAUGCUAAAGUAGGGUGGGUGAAAAUUUUUCCUGUCAUGAAUUUUACUUGCCUUGCAGGCUUCCACAGAACUGAUCUGCCAUAAUCAAAUAGUGCUCUGUAAAGUAAAAUAAGGAACACCUUUUCUUCAUAUACCUGUAUUUCACUCAUUGACCUCUACCAAGCUACUCAUGUAAAUAUGUAUUUACUGCUCGAAAACGGGCAAUUCAUGCUCCAGUGUGUCAAAUUUGCCACCUCCCAGAGCUGCUCCAAAACUUCUUUGACUGCUUCCAUCCCUGUAUGAGUGGCCCAUAUAAUGUUUAAUGAAAUUAUCACUGGCAUCCCAGAAACUUCAACAUUUAACAUCCGCCUGCCAAAGUGUCUACAUCUCAACAUUUUGGUUAGAACUGAUCACUUUAUUUGCUGCAGGACUGAAGCUGUCUUGAUAUCUACAAUACAUUGGACACUACAUGCAGGAUUAUGAAUGGAUACCUGAACACUGCUUGAAGGAGCAAGCUCUACAGCAUCACUUAUGCUCCUUUCCAUGGGUUGGCAAGAGGAACCGUGGCACGCAACUCUACAGGCACCUGUGCUCUUCACUACCUUCGGAGGAGAGAUGCAUUGAAUGCUCCCUAUCAUGCACUGCCAUCUCAACAGUACCAUGGCUUUUUGUGUGGAUUCCUUCCCUUUUGAAGGCCACCACUGUUUGCACAGCAUCACAGCCUGCCUGCCUUGAUCUUGCGGAAGAAGAAAAUACAAAAUGCCUAUUUUUUGAAAUGCAUGCAUGGCUUCAUGCAACACCACCUGUCGUCGGGGUGUUAAGGCUUUUUGCAGAGAAAAUGUAAUGACGCCUUAUGUGUGCCCUGGUGGCAAAGUGUUUGCCUCUUUGCCUGUGUAAAAAUUUCACACUUAUGGAUACUGUUAAAGGUUCCUGUAUCAUAUUUUCUUUCACAUCCUAAGAAAUUUUUGUUUCAUUAUAAAACUAAAAAUUAUAGUUGAAUUGCUGCUUUGUGUGAUAUGCAAUAUUCAGCUGAAGGUGAUCAGCAGAGGUCGAACAAGUGUUAUGUCAGGUGGAGAAAUUUUUUUGAGAAGUGGACUUCUUCGUUAGGGUAACAACCGUUUUCCUUGGCAGUAUUUAUAUAGUUCACUUUUCUCCACUCCAUGGAUAUCCAGCAAAAUGAGUGAGUGCAUAGAGAAGGUGAGGUAAGUUUAAAUGCUCACCAUGGGGGUUUAGUUGGGGUAGCAAGGUGUGUAGAAGUAUGGGAGUUUGGCAGGUUGCUGGCACCAAUUUCUAUGAGUGAUCUUGUUGUUUGUGUCUAUGUCAGUUAUAUAAUGCGAGGCGUCUUCUGACGCCAGAAAUUUUGAAAAAAAAAACUCCUUAUAUUUGUGGAAAUUCAGUAUGUGCCCCUGGGGCUACUACGAGCACUUGGGGCCACUGGGUAGAUGCAGCUCUCCAAUGAACUUUUUUGACACAAACUUGUGUAUGUACGCUGGGUGUGUGCCACUGCAUAUGUGCCACUCUUUAAUGAACCUCUUUGAUGCUGACUUAGGUCAUGGGGCAUCACAACACAAACCUAUGUAGCGACAUCUGUGUAUGCAAGUAAGUGUGAGCUGGAAUUGUCUGCUUGGAUUUUCUUUCCCUGAUGACGACUAGUCCCCUUGUUGAAUUAACUUCAGCCUGAGAUAUCACCUGUUUGUCUACUGUUAUCACAUUAUGCCCAUUUUGCUGUGAACUUGUCAUGUUCUCUAGCUGGCAAGCUUGAAUUUCAGGUGCUGCACGCUAAGGAAAUUGAUUCAGAGUGGGUGGUACCACUCCUUUUUCUUUGCAGCUGUGUGUUACAUGAGAGAAUAAGUUGUACGUAGAUGUCUAUUAGAAAUAGCAUAGGUAUUCAAAGGUACUUUCAUUAUGUUCUAGGUCAUUUGUGCUGUCUGGCCUCCUUUGCAUCAUUUUUUGUAGCAUGCUUUUUACAUGCAAAAACAAAUGUGGCCUGUUCUAAUGCAUGCAAGGACUGCCCAAUAGCUCAUGGUGUUUUGAGCCGUUGAAUUUCAGUCUUGGCUGCACUUGUGGAUUUUCAACUGUACUGAAGCUUGCAAUAUGCUUGAAUUUCCUGUCAAACUGGUUUGCUUGUUUGUAUCCAAUUUAUUGAAUUAUUUCACUUUCAUUAUGCUAAUAGUCAUUGAUUGUACUGUCAUGCUGGCACAUUUGAUUCUGGAACUGCAAUAAAUUUCCAGACAUUUUA